CAAUAGCGUAUAUUAAAGUUGUUGCAGUUAAAAAGCUCGUAGUUGGAUUUCUGGUGGGAGCGAUCGGUCUGGCGCUUAGCGCGAGUACUUGCAUCGUCUCCGGCCAUCCUUGGGGAGAGUCUGUCUGGCAUUAAGUUGUCGGGCAGAGGAUCCUCAUCGUUUACUGUGAAAAAAUUAGAGUGUUCAAAGCAGGCUUAUGCCGUUGAAUAUAUUAGCAUGGAAUAAUAAGAUAGGACUUUGGUACUAUUUUGUUGGUUUGCGCACCAAAGUAAUGAUUAAUAGGGACAGUUGGGGGUAUUCGUAUUCCGUUGUCAGAGGUGAAAUCCUUGGAUUUACGGAAGACGAACUACUGCGAAAGCAUUUACCAAGGAUGUUUUCAUUAA
rnacentral:rRNA from 1 species